GCACGGACGAUGACAAGGUAAGGAACAGAAGCUCAUCCUCGACAAGGCAAAAGGAUGCGUCCAUUAGAAAGGUUUACAGAUUUGGAACACGAUUGUGGUCUCCCUGAUUGAGUGGUUCUCGACAGUUCAACAGUUCUUUGACAAAAUUGUGAAAUGUUUAGGACCACUUGACCAGUCAGACAUUUGCAGCUAAGCGGCAUCAUCAGCCUUCCAAUGGACCUGCAAGGCAAGAAGACUCACAUUGGAUCAGCAUUUUUAAACGAUCUUAGUCAUCUUCCGCUGUUUGUGCCUCCUUGUGUUGAAAAGACAACUAACCGCCUAAAAACUGCAGAGGGCUUUAAAAAAAAAUACCCCGCCAGGUUUCAUUUCACUCUGCUGGCAUGCACACUCUUUGUAACAGCUUUACUGCUUGCUCGUAUUUUCUCUGUUUAUUGUUUCUGUGAUUAAAAGUACUGAUUAAAACAAGACAAUAAAAAUAAA